AUGGCAGUCUGUAGCAAAAAAGAUGAUUUUCAGACCACAAUUCAGAAUGGUUAUGACAAAAUGAGUGAGCUAAAAGCCUUUGAUGAUACUAAGGCUGGUGUCAAAGGGCUUGUUGAUGCUGGAAUCAAUAGAGUACCUAGAAUAUUCAUUCUACCGCCAAAAUACAGGUGGAAACAUGUGAAACGCACAUCAGUUUUCCAGUGAUAGACCUCGAAGGCAUUGAUGAGGAUCCGAUCAAGUAUAAGGAGAUUGUGGACAAAGUUCGAGAUGCAUCGGAGACAUGGGGUUUCUUUCAAGUGGUUAAUCAUGGAAUUCCAACAUCCAUCUUGGACAAAACAUUACAAGGAACACGACAGUUUUUUGAGCAAGAUACCGAGUUUAAGAAACAGUAUUACACUCGAGAUAUUGGGAAAAAGGUGAUUUAUACUAGCAAUCUUGAUUUGUAUAGCCCUUCUGUUCCAGCUGCAAGUUGGAGAGACUCAAUUUUAUUUUUCAUGGCUCCGAAUCCUCCUAGUCCACAAGAAUUCCCCAAAGCGUGCGGGGAAAUUCUAAUGGACUACUCCAAAGAUGUGACGAAAUUGGGGUUCUCCUUGCUUGAAUUAUUGUCUGAAGGUCUCGGUCUCGAUCGUAGCUAUCUCAAAGAUUAUAUGGAUUGUUGUCAUAUAAGUUGCUUGUGCCAUUACUAUCCAUCAUGCCCUCAGCCAGAACUCACCAUGGGCAUCAGUCAACAUUCCGACACUGAAUUUAUCACAGUGCUUCUACAAGAUGAUAUGGGUGGACUCCAAGUUCUUCACCAAAAUCAAUGGUUUGAUGUUCCUCCUAUACCUGGUGCUCUUGUCGUCAAUAUUGGAGAUUUUCUGCAGCUCAUGUCAAAUGACAAGUACACAAGUGUUGAGCAUAGAGCAAUUGCAAACAAAGAUGGAUCAAGAAUGUCAGUUGCGUGCUUCUUUGGCGAAAAUCCAUUGCAAUCUUCAAAGCUGUAUGAACCAAUUACUGAAUUGUUAUCAGAAGAUAAUCCUCCAAAAUAUCGUGCAACCACAGUGAUUGACUACAAAAAUUAUGUCCUUAAUAAAGGCCUAGAUGGAACUUCUGCGCUGUUGAGUUACAAGAUCUAA